UUAACACUGUUUCCUCUGAGGAUAAGUUUCUACCAUGUGAACUUAUGAGGACAUAUUCAAGCUGUGGUACUACUAUUUAUUUGAUUGUCUAUUUAUCCCAUUUCAGCAAGAACAGCCAAAAUAAAUCCAUUUAGCAGGAAUCGAGAUAUAACACAUUCUGAUUAACUCUAGUCUUUGUGCUGACCAUUACUUCCUAGACUUAUUCAUCUUAAAGGAAAGGCAGUAACCUGUCAGGUACAGUAGUGUACACUGUAAUCCCAGCACUUGGAAGGCACAGGCAUAAGGAUGGAGAGGUCAAGGCCAAGGCCAUCUUUAAUUAUAUAGUGAAGCCAGUCUGGGCUACAUGAGACCCUGUCCUAAAUUAAAAACAAAGAAACAAAAACAAAACCCAAGACAGAACCAGUACCAGCCAUUCAUCUGUUGACUCCAGCAAACUCCGUCUCGUUCUGCUUAACAGUCCAGUUAUCUGAGUUCUCAGUUAACUCUUAAGUUUUUUCUCUUUCUGGGCCAGGAACCUAGGCAAUCCUGGAAACCAGAGAUUUCACAAUUGCCUCCUAUUAUCCCCCAAUUCCAUACAUAUCUGGCAUCUGUGUCUGCCUUUGUCCCUAAUGUAUUUUAAAAUGACCAGCCAAUGCAUAUGACCUCCUCUGGUGAUUUACUCUGCAUUCUUGUUGAUAUUCUGUCCUACCAGGUCUAAUGACUUUUUUUCACUCCCUCUCUCAGUCUUCCCUUUCUUUCUUCCCUCCCUCCCUCCUCCCUUUCACAGGGUCUUGCUAUGUAGCUCAGGCUGGCCAGGAAUGCUCAAUCAUCAGUCUCCGCUUCCACAGUAAUUAGGGUUACAGGGUCAAGUGAAAUGUUAAAAAUGAACCCUCACCCAGCAUGGUGCCUUCUCAGAGGGUGACAGCAGAUGAACAGGCUCUGCCAGGCUGUUCCCUUACUGACUGGAGUGUUACUGCCCCACCAGGACAGUUUUGUGCUCUGUGACAGGGCGGAAUUCUACUGCACCCUCUUGCAGUUCAUCAAUACUCUCCAUGAUUAUAGUGCCAACUGUUACCUUAAGAACCCUCAGAAGGAAAUGGUCAGGGAAGACUCUGUAAAUUUAAACCACUGACAGGUGCACAUUCUGUGGCAUGGUCUUGAGAUCAGUGUAGCUCGGUGGAAUCUGAUCUGAGAAACUACCAACAAUGCUACAAUAAUGCUGGAAGUGAUACUGUUAUCACAGAGGCAGAACUUUGGGGCUUUUGGGGGGUGCUAGUAGGAUCUGGCUUCUGCUGACACCUUGACCUGGGCCUCACUAAUUUUGGGCUUAUCCUGAAGCAAGCUAUUGUGAUCAGCGGAUUAGGCAUUAAAAUCUGAAUGCUUAAAAAGUUUUGCCUUAUAUUCUGUAUUUGUCAGCUUUCUCUCAGCAUAAUAAAAUACGUCAGAUAA